GUGCUCACUUUGGCAGCACAUCUACUAAAUUGGAACAAUACAGAGAAGACUAGCAUGGCUCCUGCGCAAGGAUGACAUGCAAAUUCGUGACAUGUUCCACAUUUAA